AUUAUUGUUAAAAAGAAAAUAAUCGAAAACAGGAGUGGGGGAAGGAGUGCUGAUCUAGAAGGCAGGAGAACACUGGCCAGAGGACAAGUGAGGAUGGCUCCAUUGAACUGGGCAGCUUCCUGCUACCUGGAAAAAGAUAAGACAUCCCCUCCACUGGAAAGCUUUCUUACCAUUUCUUGG